rnacentral:rRNA from 1 species
CGGGGUGCAGCAGGCGCGAAAACUCUACAAUGCAGGCAACUGCGAUAGGGGAACAUCGAGUGAUCCUCAUAUUGGGGGUCUGUCCACCCGUCUAAAAAACGGGUGUUAGCAAGGGCCGGGCAAGACCGGUGCCAGCCGCCGCGGUAAUACCGGCGGCUCGAGUGGUGGCCGAUAUUAUUGAGUCUAAAGGGUCCGUAGCCGGCUUUGCAAGUCUCUCGGGAAAUCCAGCGGCUUAACCGUUGGUCGUCCGGGGGGGUACUACAUUGCUUGGGACUGGGAGAGGUAGGAGGUACUCAGGGGGUAGGAGUGAAAUCCUGUAAUCCUUUGGGGACCACCGGUGGCGAAGGCGUCCUACCAGAACAGGUCCGACGGUGAGGGACGAAAGCUAGGGGCACGAACCGGAUUAGAUACCCGGGUAGUCCUAGCCGUAAACGAUGCUCGCUAGGUGUCACAACAGUCGUGAACUGUUGUGGUGCCGUAGGGAAGCCGUGAAGCGAGCCACUUGGGAAGUACGACCGCAAGGUUGAAACUUAAAGGAAUUGGCGGGGGA